UACGUAGGUGGCGAGCGUUGUCCGGAUUUACUGGGCGUAAAGAGCGCGCAGGCGGCUGGUCAAGUCCGAUGUGAAAGCUCCCGGCUUAACUGGGAAAUUGCAUCGGAAACUGAUCAGCUGGAAGGUAAGAGAGAAUAGCGGAAUUCCCGGUAUAGUGGUGAAAUGCGUAGAUAUCAGGAGGAACACCAGUGACGAAAGCGGCUACCUGGCCCAUUCUUGACGCUAAAACGCGAAAGCUAAAAAAGCAAACAGG
rnacentral:rRNA from 1 species